AUGCUUGGACCGGUGGAAAGAGCAAGGAGGAUAACAAAGGGAAACACUCAAACAUCACCAACAUCACUAGAAGUGCACCAUAUGCAAACCUCCAUUCCAAGGAAAACACGAAGAGGAAACUCCCAGAGAUGUUGUCCAUCCAUAAAAAUGAUACAUUCACAAUUCACAAUAUCCGGAAAUUCACAAUUUCACUACAAAUCCACGUAUCCACAAUCUCUGCGAAUUUCACAGUUUCACACGUCACUUUUGAAAAAGAAGAAUCUGAUUGUUGCUGAAACACCAACGUCGAAGCAACUUCUCUCCGGUGAGACAAACCAAGCCACACAUCCAACUACUACGAUGCAGAUCCGACCAUCAUCGUUAAUAAAAACCUGA